AUUGAACGCCGGCGGCAUGCCUUACACAUGCAAGUCGAACGGCAGCACGGGAGCAAUCCUGGUGGCGAGUGGCGAACGGGUGAGUAAAGUAUCGGAACGUGCCCAGUCGUGGGGGAUAACGUAGCGAAAGUUACGCUAAUACCGCAAACGAUCUAUGGAUGAAAGCGGGGGAUCGCAAGACCUCGCGCGAUUGGAGCGGCCGAUAUCAGAUUAGGUAGUUGGUGGGGUAAAGGCUCACCAAGCCGACGAUCUGUAGCUGGUCUGAGAGGAAGACCAGCCACACUGGGACUGAGACACGGCCCAGACUCCUACGGGAGGCAGCAGUGGGGAAUUUUGGACAAUGGGCGAAAGCCUGAUCCAGCCAUGCCGCGUGCAGGAUGAAGGCCUUCGGGUUGUAAACUGCUUUUGUACGGAACGAAAAGGUUUGGCCUAAUAAGCUGAGCUCAUGACGGUACCGUAAGAAUAAGCACCGGCUAACUACGUGCCAGCCGCCGCUGUAA
rnacentral:rRNA from 1 species